GUAUUAUACUUGUGAAUGUGUUCCUACUACAAUCACAGGAUAAUACUG
rnacentral:precursor_RNA from 1 species